rnacentral:sRNA from 1 species
GCCUGGCACGGUGGCGCACGCCUGUAAUCCCAGUGGCUCAGGAGGCUGAGGCAGGAGGAUUGCGAGUUUAAAGCCAGCCUCGGCAAAAGCAAGGCUCUAAGCAACUCAGUGAGACCCUGUCUCUA